ACUCAAAUGAAUAGACGGGGGACCGCACAAGCGGUGGAGCGCGUGGUUUAAUUCGAUGCUAAGCGAAGAACCUUACCGAGGUUUGACAUGCUACUGCAAAGCCUAUGAAAGUAGGCCUCCUUCGAGGGUGUAGCACAGGUGUUGCACGGCUGUCGUCAGUUCGUGUCGUGAGAUGUUGGCUUUAGUGCUUUAACGAACGUAACCCCUGCGAUAAGUUGUAUCACUCUUAUCGGACUGCCUGUAUUCUAUACAGGAGGAAGGCGGGGAUGAGGUCAAGUCUGCGUGGCCCUUAUACCUCGGGCAACACACACGCUACAAUGGCAGAUAACAACGGGUUGCAAGCAGGUAACUGUAAGCUAAUCCCUUAAACUCUGUCUCAGUUCGGAUCGUCGGCUGAAACUCGCCGGCGUGAAGUUGGAAUCGCUAGUAAACGCAGGUCAGCACACUGCGUUGAAUACGUUCUCGGUCCUUGUACACACCGCCCGU
rnacentral:rRNA from 1 species